rnacentral:rRNA from 1 species
GACGAACGCUGGCGGCGUGCUUAACACAUGCAAGUCGAACGGAAAGGCCCUGCUUUUGUGGGGUGCUCGAGUGGCGAACGGGUGAGUAACACGUGAGUAACCUGCCCUUGACUUUGGGAUAACUUCAGGAAACUGGGGCUAAUACCGGAUAGGAGCUCCUGCUGCAUGGUGGGGGUUGGAAAGUUUCGGCGGUUGGGGACGGACUGGCGGCUUAUCAGCUUGUUGGUGGGGUAGUGGCUUACCAAGGCUUUGACGGGUAGCCGGCCUGGGAGGGUGACCGGCCACAAUGCGACUGAGAUACGGCCCAGACUGCUACGGGAGGCAGCAGUGGGGAAUAUUGCAGAAUGGGCGCAAGCCUGAUGCAGAAACGCCGCGUGCGGGAUGACGGCCUUCGGGUUGUAAACCGCUUUCGCCGGUGACGAAGCGUGAGUGACGGUAAUGGGUAAAGAAGCACCGGCUAACUACGUG